CAGAUAGUAGCUCAGUGGUAGAGCAUCUGCCUUGCAUCCAGAACAUCCCAGGUUCAGUCUCUGGUUGGACUUGG